GAUGAGUUGCGAACGGGUGAGUAACGCGUAGGUAACCUGCCUGGUAGCGGGGGAUAACUAUUGGAAACGAUAGCUAAUACCGCAUAAUAGUAGAUGUUGCAUGACAUUUGCUUAAAAGGUGCAAUUGCAUCACUACCAGAUGGACCUGCGUUGUAUUAGCUAGUUGGUGGGGUAACGGCUCACCAAGGCGACGAUACAUAGCCGACCUGAGAGGGUGAUCGGCCACACUGGGACUGAGACACGGCCCAGACUCCUACGGGAGGGCAGCAGUAGGGAAUCUUCGGCAAUGGACGGAAAGUUCUGACCGAGCCAACGCCGCGUGAGUGAAGAACGUUUUCGGAUCCGUAAGGCUCUGGUGUAAGAACAAAGAAGAAUAUGAGAGUGGAAAGUUCAUACUGUGACGGUAUCUUACAAGAAAGGGACGGCUAACUACGUGCCAGCAGCCGCGGUAAUACGUAGGUCCCGAGCGUUGUCCGGAUUUAUUGGGCGUAAAGCGAGCGCAGGCGGUUAGAUAAGUCUGAAGUUAAAGGCUGUGGCUUAACCAUAGUACGCUUUGGAAACUGUUUAACUUGAGUGCAAGAGGGGAGAGUGGAAUUCCAUGUGUAGCGGUGAAAUGCGUAGAUAUAUGGAGGAACACCG
rnacentral:rRNA from 1 species